UACAGAGGGGGCGAGCGUUGUCCGGAGUCACUGGGCGUAAAGCGCGCGCAGGCGGCUGCCAAAGUUGGGUGUGAAAUCCCGCGGCUCAACCCGGGGACUGCAUGGCAAACUCGGCGGCUGGAGCGGGGGAGAGGGGCGUGGAAUUGCCAGUGUAGAGGUGAAAUGCGUAGAGAUUGGCAAGAACACCAGGGGGGAAGCCGGGGGGCUGGUCCGUGGCUGACGCUGAGGCGAGACAGCGUGGGGAGCGAACCGG
rnacentral:rRNA from 1 species